rnacentral:rRNA from 1 species
GACGAACGCUGGCGGCGUGCUUAACACAUGCAAGUCGAACGAAGUGGCGAACGGGUGAGUAACGCGUAAUAAACCUGCCCUUCAGAGGGGGACAACAGUUGGAAAAGAAAGCUACUACAGCAUACUGAAGGAGGGGAUUGCGUCGGAUUAGCUAGGUGGAGGGGUAACGGCCCACCAAGGCGAUGAUCAGUAGCCGGUCUGAGAUGAUGAACGGCCACAUUGGUACUGAGACACGGCCCAGACUCCUACGGGAGGCAGCAGUGGGGAAUCUUCCGCAAUGGACGAAAGUCUGACGGAGCAACGCCGCGUGAGUGAUGACGGCCUUCGGGUUGUAAAGCUCUGUUAAUCGGGACGCGGUACCGGAAUAGAAAGCCACGGCUAACUACGUGCCAGCAGCCGCGGUAAUUC